UUAAGUUCAGCGGGUUUUCUUGCCCAAUUUCAGACCAAGUUAACAGGUUAUCCAGUUUAGCUGAAUAGCCUGGUCAUUAGGAGUGCACAACACCAGUAUUGCAAAAUGGAUAGCUCAAGAGGUGGAAGUGAAUUGAAAAUUCAUCUUUUUGCACCUUUAAAAGCUAACCGACAACAGCCGACGCCAGCACAAUCAUUUUG
rnacentral:misc_RNA from 1 species